GUUCUAUGUGUGAAGAAGGUAUACCGUGAGGAGUGCUGGAACGCAUAGAAGUGAGAAUGCCGGUAUGAGUAGCGAAAGAUGGGUGAGAAUCCCAUCCACCGCAAGACUAAGGUUUCCAGGGGAAGGCUCGUCCGCCCUGGGUUAGUCGGGACCUAAGGAGAGACCGAAGGGUGUAUCCGAUGGACAACAGGUUGAUAUUCCUG
rnacentral:rRNA from 1 species